AGUUUUAUAAUCUAUUAAAGAUUUAAAAUUGCAAAUUUUAAAAUAUAAUUUUAUAAAUUAUUAAGACUU
rnacentral:tRNA from 1 species